AUCUUCAUCUUGGCAUGUGCUAUUUGUUGAAUUUGUACACUCGUUGCAUUGUGAGCUCGCUGAAUAUGUCUACUCUUACCAUACAUGGCUCAAGUUUACUGGAUUCAUUGUUGUUCUUGCUGAACAUGUUAUAUUUUUGGCUAUGAAUGUCCUGUAUAUUCAUAACAUUAUAUUCAUAACAUAUUGUCGCCAAGUUAUAAGUGUUGUUUGUGACUUGAAUUUGCUGGAUUCAUGUUCAUGUAUGAUGUCUAUGUCCAUUCGUUAUAAUAACGAUUUCUAUGCAUUAUCUUAGUCAUAUAAGAUGAGGCAAGGAAUCCAUGUUUCUUAGAUUAGGGUUAGAUUAGACUCUGUAGAUGGAGAGGGUGUAAAGAUGGUGGAGGUCGAUGUCCAUUCCGACUGUUGUCAUGUACUAUUUGUUUUCUCGACAUAUGUCUCGGGUUCCAUGCAUUGUAUAAAACUCGAUAAGUUGCGGUUUCCUUUUUUUCCCAAUUGUUUUCUCUUUCAUAUUUUUAGAAUUACAUGAUUAGGUUAAACUGCUUUUCUUGAUUGUUUACUUCAUGUCUUACAAUUUCAUUUUCAUUGUUUGUUUUCAUUUCAUUUCUUAGGAAUAGAAUAGAAUGAAAGUAAUCCACCAUGCAUGAUCAUUUAGUAUAGAAUUGACGAUCUUGAAAAUAUAAAAAGAAAUGCAUGGACAUGUUAAGAAAAACACAACAUACUAUUUAGGUACCGAAAGGGCGCUAAUAGCAAUAUUAGCAUAACCCAAGUCCCCGAAUCUAGAUAUCUGGUUACAUAGGAAUCAAUGGAACACUCCCGACCCUCGAUUGGGUUUCUAGCCGACCCCCUAAAUGAGGCUAGUGGCGACUCCUGUCUAUUUUUUAGGUUGUUAUAAACAACUAGAUUGCAUAUAUAAACCUGCUGUCACGCGGGGUACGAGCUUGGGAGAGCUCGCGAUCUUGUGAGGGAACUCUCGUGAUCAAGUACCCCUAAACCCGACCUUUUCCACCUUGGACAUUCGAGGGCGGCGAGAUUGGGUCGCGACACCAACUAAUGAAAAGUUUGGUUUCCAUGUGCACAUAUUGUUUUUUCAUCAACAUUCGUUGAUAGAACCAAACUGGUCGGUUUUCAAGGUCGCCAGUUCCGGGGCCAAGGUGUCUGAGCUCCCAAUUCCAAGUUUAAAAUCAGGCUUAGCUCAAGAUUCUAGCCAUUGAAACGACCAACCUGGUAGUGCACGCCCCCAGCCCAAACUUCUUCCUAUCUUUCCAAGAAACGGGUGAAUGUUCCCUCAUUUCUAUUUAGUGUGAACUAGGACCCUAUUUAGUUCAAAGAUUGUCCUCAUGCAAAUUUUGAUAUGACUUCAACAUAG
rnacentral:lncRNA from 1 species